rnacentral:rRNA from 1 species
UAGGGAAUAUUGGGCAAUGGAGGCAACUCUGACCCAGCAACGCCGCGUGAAUGAAGAAGGUUUUCGGAUUGUAAAGUUCUGUUCUAAGGGAAGAAAAAAAUGACGGUACCUUAGGAGAAAGCCCCGGCAAACUACGUGCCAGCAGCCGCGGUAAUACGUAGGGGGCAAGCGUUGUCCGGAAUGACUGGGCGUAAAGGGAGUGUAGGCGGAUUUGUAAGUUAAAUGUGAAAGCCCCGGGCUUAACCCGGGAACUGCAUUUAAUACUGCAUAUCUAGAGUGUGGGAGAGGAUAAUGGAAUUCCAAGUGUAGCGGUAGAAUGCGUAGAUAUUUGGGGGAACAUCAGAGGCGAAGGCGAUUAUCUGGACCAUAACUGACGCUGAUACUCGAAAGCGUGGGGAGCAAACA